rnacentral:snRNA from 3 species
GUUUGUUUUGUCACCUUCACAAAAAUUGGAACGAUACAGAGAAGAUUAGCAUGGCCCCUGUGAAUGGAUGACACGCUUAAUUCAAGAAAUGGUCCAAAUUUUU